UACGAAGGGGGCUAGCGUUGUUCGGAAUCACUGGGCGUAAAGCGCACGUAGGCGGAUUCUUAAGUCAGGGGUGAAAUCCCGGGGCUCAACCUCGGAACUGCCUUUGAUACUGGGAAUCUCGAGUCCGGGAGAGGUGAGUGGAAUUGCGAGUGUAGAGGUGAAAUUCGUAGAUAUUCGCAAGAACACCAGUGGCGAAGGCGGCUCACUGGCCCGGUACUGACGCUGAGGUGCGAAAGCGUGGGGAGCAAACAGG
rnacentral:rRNA from 1 species